rnacentral:rRNA from 1 species
GGCUCUUUGAUAAUAAAGAUAAAGAGUUUGACCUGCCCGGUGAUAAAUUAAACGGCCGCAGUAUCCUGACUGUGCGAAGGUAGCAUAAUAACUUGUCUUAUAAUUAAAGAAUGGAAUGAAUGGUUUGACUAGGGUAUAACUGUCUCUUAUAUAUUUUCUAAAAGUUAAUUUUUAAGUUAAAAAGCUUAAAUUUAAUUAAAAGACGAGAAGACCCUAUUGAGCUUAAUAAAGAAUAUGGCUAGUUAUAAUUAUAAUAUAAAUAAAAAUUAGUGUUGAAAUUUUGGUUGGGGCGACUGAGGAAUAAAAAAAGCUUCCUUAAUAAAUUAAGAAAGAUAUUUUUAGAGCCAAAAAAUUUUGAAUUGAGAACAAGUUACCAUAGGGAUAACAGCGUUAUUUUUUUUGAGAGUUCUAAUCGAAAAAAAAGUUUGCGACCUCGAUGUUGGAUUAGGAAUAAGAUAAAGGUUGCAGAAGCUUUAUAUAUUUAGUCUGUUCGACUAUUAAUCUCCU